ensembl:lncRNA
UAUCCAGAGGUAUGCAUUCAUAUAUUAUAACAUAGGACAAUAUUCUUUAAGACAGGCAGCAGUAUUCACAGGUAUGUAUUAAUUUAUUAUGACACUGUCUAAUAUAGAACAGGGUCUGUCAACCUUAAAGUGUCUGUCCAAUUAAAUCUUCUACUCAGAUUUAGUCAAGUAACACCUAAAACCUGAAUCAUUCAAACUUCAUUAUUGAAUGUAGAUACAAACUUUACCUCGAUUUCAAAUGUUUUCAGAAAAGUAAAGUAUUUUCUUUUACCUAAAUGUGAUGAUACUGUGAGAUGCUAGGGUUAGGGGAGAGGAUAUGAUGUGAGAUGCUACUCUGUAGUGUGCUAGCAAUGCAACAGCUGCAUCAUUGGUAGUGUAGUCAUGAUCUGAAUUGCUCUAUUCUUGAACUAUGUGCUUUAUGACCCUAAAUAGGAAAAUCUAUGAUCACAAGGUUGUGCAUGCUCUUUUUUUAUUUGAUUUAUUUCACCUUUAUUUAACCAGGAAAGCUAGUUGAGAGCAAGUUCUCAUUUACAACUGCAACCUGGCCAAGAUAAAGCAAAGCAGUGCGACAUGAACAACAACACAGAGUUACACAUGGAAUAAACAAGCAUAAAGUCAAUAACACAAUAGAAAAAAGAAAGUCUAUAUAAAGUGUGUGCAAAUGGCGUGAGGAGGUAAGGCAAUAAAAAGCCCAUAGUAGCGAAGUAAUUACAAUUUAGCAGAUUAACACUGGAGUGAUCGAUGAGCAGAUGAUAAUGUGCAAGUAGUGAUACUGGUGGGGAAAAGAGCAGAAGAGUAAAUAAAAACAAUAUGAGGAUGAGGUAGGUAGAUUGGGUGGACUAUGUACAGCUGCAGCGAUCGGUUAGCUGCUCAGAUAGCUGAUAUCUAAAGCUAGUUAGCGAGAUAUGAGUCUCCAGCUCCAGCGAUUUUUGCAAUUCAUUCCAGUCACUGGCAGGAAAGGCAGCCAAAAGAGGUGUUGGCUUUGGGGAUGACCAGUGAGAUAUACCUGCUGAAGCGCGUGCUACUGGUGGGUGUUUUUAUCGUGACCAGUGAGCUGAGAUAAGGCGGUGCUUUACCUAGGAUAGACUUAUAGAUGACCUGGAGCCAACGUGUCUGGCGACGAAUAUGUAGCGAGGGCCAGCCGACUAGAGCAUGCAGGUCGCAGUGGUGGGUGGUAUAGGGGGCUUUGGUGACAAAACGGAUGGCACUGUGAUAGACUGCAUCCAGCUUGCUGAGUAGAGUAUUGGAAGGUAUUUU